GGAAAAUCCCCUCUAGCAAAGCUGCACAAAGAAGCUAGAGAAGAAUCUCUCUGUGAAGAUCAUCUUGGAAUUGAUUUUAAAGCAGCACUUCUCAUGUUGCCAGCCUUGUUCAGAGAGAAACUUGAACAUUUCAUUGUGCUUGGAGAGAGUGAACCAUCCUCACCAUAUCCUACUGUUCCAGUACAGGAGACCACUGACUGGAAAACUGUGUUUACAAGAAGAGUCACUGCAGUCAUCAAAGUUGAUGGGAUCGAAAUCUGCCAGGCAAACCUUUGCGUUCUUUAUGGUGUUUAAGAUUUGAAGGAAAACAUCAAUAUUUUAAACAGGUUGCCAGCACGUGUAGAGAUUUUGUUAACAUUUCAUCCACUUUAAGUAAUCGAAAUCAACACAGACAAUGUUGGGAAUUGUCUUCUGUUAAUAUGUUGGGCGAAUAUGAGAGAGUUGCUGGAUGUUGUGUGAGCACACCAUUUCGAACUUUGCCUGUGGCUCUACAGCAUUCAGUGAAGGCAAUUAAGAAGUACAGCCAUGUCAAUUUUGAAGGCAAACAACUUCAACGAGUAACAGAAGUAGUGCUUAAUGAUGUCAAAUACUGUGUUAAAGAUGUGUUUACUGUGGGUCAUCUGCAUGCAGAAGCUGUUCCAUUGUUUUUUCAGAUUAAGUACAUUCUUAACAUAGACACAGACUGGUUAUUGUGUGGCAAGCUUUUAAUUCCGGUUUCUUUUUGUCGUCAUUUUUAUUCAUACUGUGUGAAAUGUGAGAAUGAAUGGACUGUCCUCUUGCCAGGUGAAGAAGUUGAUUACCAGGCAUUAGACACGUACCACGUUGAUGACAAGUUAUUUAUUAGCACUAGAUACACUUGCUGAAGACAAACUGCUGCAAACGUCAAAAUGUGCAGUACUUGAUGUAGCCUGUGUAAUAAGGCUGUUUUACUUGUUUGAUGAGUUUUUCUGAGUUUUUUAUUGAAUAGCUAGUUUUUUCUUGACAUGCUUGCUGUUGUGAGAUGUAAUGAAAUCUUUUUAAAAGAAAAUUUCUAAAUAAAAUUGUCUAUUUGUUA